rnacentral:rRNA from 1 species
GGUAGAUUCCAGGGUAGCGGGAAAUGGUAAGAUCGGAGGACUACCGGGGCGAAGCGGCACCUGGACGAAGACUACGCUCAGGUGCGAAAGCUGGGAGCAACCAGGAUUAGUACCCUGGUAGUCCACGCUGUAAACGAUGUCGAUUUGGAGGUUGUGCCCUGAGGCGUAGCUUCCGGAGCUAACGCGUUAAAUCGACCGCCUGGGGAGUACGGCCGCAAGGUUAAAACUCAAAUGAAUUGACGGGGGCCCGCACAAGCGGUGGAGCAUGUGGUUUAAUUCGAUGCAACGCGAAGACCCUUACAUACUCUUGACAUCCAGAGAACUUUCCAGAGAUGGAUGGGUCCCUUCGGGAAUUCUGAGCCAGGUGCUGCAUGGCGGUCGUCAGCUCGUGUUGUGAAAUGUUGGGUUAAGUCCCGCAACGAGCGCAACCCUUAUCCUUUGUUGCCAGCGGUUCGGCCGGGAACUCAAAGGAGACUGCCAGUGAUAAACUGGAGGAAGGUGGGGAUGACGUCAAGUCAUCAUGGCCCUUACGAGUAGGGCUACACACGUGCUACAAUGGCGUAUACAAAGAGAAGCCAACUCGCGAGAGUAAGCGGACCUCAUAAAGUACGUCGUAGUCCGGAUUGGAGUCUGCAACUCGACUCCAUGAAGUCGGAAUCGCUAGUAAUCGUAGAUCAGAAUGUCUACGGUGAAUACGUUCCCGGGCCUUGUACACACCGCCCGUCACACCAUGGGAGUGGGUUGCAACAAGAAGUAGGUAGCUUAACCUUCGGAGGGCGCUACCACUGUGGAUCAUAGGU